AGAGUUUGAUUAUGGCUCAGAUUGAACGCUGGCGGCAGGCCUAACACAUGCAAGUCGAGCGGUAGAGAGGUGCUUGCACCUCUUGAGAGCGGCGGACGGGUGAGUAAUGCCUAGGAAUCUGCCUGGUAGUGGGGGAUAACGCUCGGAAACGGACGCUAAUACCGCAUACGUCCUACGGGAGAAAGCAGGGGACCUUCGGGCCUUGCGCUAUCAGAUGAGCCUAGGUCGGAUUAGCUAGUUGGUGGGGUAAUGGCUCACCAAGGCGACGAUCCGUAACUGGUCUGAGAGGAUGAUCAGUCACACUGGAACUGAGACACGGUCCAGACUCCUACGGGAGGCAGCAGUGGGGAAUAUUGGACAAUGGGCGAAAGCCUGAUCCAGCCAUGCCGCGUGUGAAGAAGGUCUUCGGAUUGUAAAGCACUUUAAGUUGGGAGGAAGGGCAUUAACCUAAUACGUUAGUGUUUUGACGUUACCGACAGAAUAAGCACCGGCUAACUCUGUGCCAGCAGCCGCGGUAAUACAGAGGGUGCAAGCGUUAAUCGGAAUUACUGGGCGUAAAGCGCGCGUAGGUGGUUCGUUAAGUUGGAUGUGAAAUCCCCGGGCUCAACCUGGGAACUGCAUUCAAAACUGUCGAGCUAGAGUAUGGUAGAGGGUGGUGGAAUUUCCUGUGUAGCGGUGAAAUGCGUAGAUAUAGGAAGGAACACCAGUGGCGAAGGCGACCACCUGGACUGAUACUGACACUGAGGUGCGAAAGCGUGGGGAGCAAACAGGAUUAGAUACCCUGGUAGUCCACGCCGUAAACGAUGUCAACUAGCCGUUGGGAGCCUUGAGCUCUUAGUGGCGCAGCUAACGCAUUAAGUUGACCGCCUGGGGAGUACGGCCGCAAGGUUAAAACUCAAAUGAAUUGACGGGGGCCCGCACAAGCGGUGGAGCAUGUGGUUUAAUUCG
rnacentral:rRNA from 1 species